rnacentral:snRNA from 1 species
ACUCGAAGUGAUUCAGUCCC